rnacentral:rRNA from 1 species
CUUCUAGCUUGCUAGAAGUGGAUUAGUGGCGCACGGGUGAGUAAUGCAUAGGUUAUGUGCCCUUUAGUCUGGGAUAGCCACUGGAAACGGUGAUUAAUACUGGAUACUCCCUACGGGGGAAAGUUUUUCGCUAAAGGAUCAGCCUAUGUCCUAUCAGCUUGUUGGUGAGGUAAUGGCUCACCAAGGCUAUGACGGGUAUCCGGCCUGAGAGGGUGAUCGGACACACUGGAACUGAGACACGGUCAGACUCCUACGGGAGGCAGCAGUAGGGAAUAUUGCUCAAUGGGGGAAACCCUGAAGCAGCAACGCCGCGUGGAGAAUGAAGGUUUUAGGAUUGUAAACUCCUUUUGUUAGAGAAGAUUAUGACGGUAUCUAGCGAAUAAGCACCGGCUAACUCCGUGCCAGCAGCCGCGGUAAUACGGAGGGUGCAAGCGUUACUCGGAAUCACUGGGCGUAAAGAGUGCGUAGGCGGGGUAAUAAGUCAGAUGUGAAAUCCUGUAGCUUAACUACAGAACUGCAUUUGAAACUGUUACUCUGGAGUGUGGGAGAGGUAGGUGGAAUUCUUGGUGUAGGGGUAAAAUCCGUAGAGAUCAAGAGGAAUACUCAUUGCGAAGGCGACCUGCUGGAACAUUACUGACGCUGAUGCACGAAAGCGUGGGGAGCAAACAGGAUUAGAUACCCUGGUAGUCCACGCCCUAAACGAUGGAUGCUAGUUGUUGCCUUGCUUGUCAGGGCAGUAAUGCAGCUAACGCAUUAAGCAUCCCGCCUGGGGAGUACGGUCGCAAGAUUAAAACUCAAAGGAAUAGACGGGGACCCGCACAAGCGGUGGAGCACGUGGUUUAAUUCGAAGAUACGCGAAGAACCUUACCUAGGCUUGACA